rnacentral:piRNA from 1 species
UGUGAACCUAGAAGUACCAUCUCCCC